rnacentral:rRNA from 1 species
CAAUAGCGUAUAUUAAAGUUGCUGCAGUUAAAACGCUCGUAGUCUGUGCGUGUCGUACGAAUUCUCUUUCAUGCAUGUGUAAUCAUACACAUGGGUGUGGAAUUGGUCGACAAAGUAUACUGCAUGUGGAAACAUGUGCAGAUAUAUGUGUACCUUGAGAAAAGUAGAGUGCUCCAGGCGGAAGGAUACUAGAAUAAUUCACCAUGGGAUGCAGUUACGGGAUAUGCUCAUUUGAGGUGCAGGAGCUGUCCACUUUGAACUGUUCAAGAGGAGCAAUUGGGGACGUUCGGAUUUUGCAGUUAGAGGUGAAAUUCUUGGAUCUGCUUGAGUCGGGCUACUGCGAAGGCAAUCGUCAUGGAUGCAUUCAUUGA